rnacentral:rRNA from 1 species
UGGCUCAGGAUGAACGCUGGCGGCGUGCCUAAUACAUGCAAGUCGAGCGAAUGGAUUAAGAGCUUGCUCUUAUGAAGUUAGCGGCGGACGGGUGAGUAACACGUGGGUAACCUGCCCAUAAGACUGGGAUAACUCCGGGAAACCGGGGCUAAUACCGGAUAACAUUUUGAACCGCAUGGUUCGAAAUUGAAAGGCGGCUUCGGCUGUCACUUAUGGAUGGACCCGCGUCGCAUUAGCUAGUUGGUGAGGUAACGGCUCACCAAGGCAACGAUGCGUAGCCGACCUGAGAGGGUGAUCGGCCACACUGGGACUGAGACACGGCCCAGACUCCUACGGGAGGCAGCAGUAGGGAAUCUUCCGCAAUGGACGAAAGUCUGACGGAGCAACGCCGCGUGAGUGAUGAAGGCUUUCGGGUCGUAAAACUCUGUUGUUAGGGAAGAACAAGUGCUAGUUGAAUAAGCUGCACCUGACGGACCACC